UACGUAGGGUGCAAGCGUUGUCCGGAAUUAUUGGGCGUAAAGAGCUCGUAGGCGGUUUGUUGCGUUCGGCUGUGAAAUCCCGAGGCUCAACCUCGGGUCUGCAGUCGAUACGAGCAAACUAGAGUGUGGCAGGGGUAGAGGGAAUUCCCGGUGUAGCGGUGAAAUGCGUAGAGAUCGGGAAGAACAUCGGUGGCGAAAGCGCUCUACUGGGCCAUAACUGACACUCAGGGACGAAAGCUAGGGGAGCGAAUGGG
rnacentral:rRNA from 1 species